GACCCGUCUGACCAUCACUGUUCAGCCCAAGUCAGUGCCAUCAGUCAUGCUGUUCCCACCCUCCCAUGAGGAGCUCAAGGCCAACAAGGCCAUCCUGGUGUGCCUCAUCAGUGACUUCUACCCCAGCCACUUGACAGUGGCCUGGAAGGCAGAUGACACCUCCAUUACCUAAGGCGUGGAGACCACCAAGCCCUCCAAACAGAGC